rnacentral:rRNA from 1 species
GUAGGGAAUAUUGGGCAAUGGAAGCAAUUCUGACCCAGCCAUGCCGCGUGAAGGAAUACAGCCCUAUGGGUUUUAAACUUCUUUUAUUAUAGAGUAAACGGAGGUACGUGUACCUCCCUGCAAGUAUAUGAUGAAUAAGGAUCGGCUAACUCCGUGCCAGCAGCCGCGGUAAUACGGAGGAUCCAAGCGUUAUCCGGAUUUAUUGGGUUUAAAGGGUGCGCAGGCGGAUCAAUAAGUCAGGGGUGAAAAAUUUCAGCUUAACUGGAAUCGUGCCUUUGAUACUGUUGGACUAGAGUAUAAUUGACGUGUCUGGAAUGUGAUGUGUAGCGGUGAAAUGCUUAGAUAUGUCACAGAACGCCAAUCGUGAAGACAGGUCACGAAAUUAUUACUGACGCUCAUGCACGAAAGCGUGGGGAUCAAACAGGAUUAGAAACCCCGGUAGUCC